CUCUUUCUCUCUCGCGGAUCUCUUUUCGAUAUUCCUCCUAUUUUUUUUUCUCACCCUCUUGAAUCUCCAACGAGUUCUGUGUGCACCGCUGGAUGGAUCGUCGGCUUUGAUAUCGCCAACUCGAUAUUUAGUCGGCUACCAUUGUUCGGCAGCGGGCAAGUUCGCGGAACUUGAGAUUCCGAGAAGUCGACACACACGGUUUGCGAAGAGCCCGUAGCGCAAAGUCAUUACGACGCUGGCACGCGCCGGGAUCAGACGUCGAAGUACACAAAAGAAAAGUGACGCGCGACAUAUAGAAGUGUGAAAGUGAGCUGGAACGAGGUGGGAAAAGUGCAAGCUGGCAGGCCUACACCUCCUUUUUCGAUCUUCGAUAUCCUGUUUCGACGAGAGAAACGAUUAAGGGUUGUUGACGACAUUAAGGAGUCUGUUUAAGACGCGGAUUCGAACUGCACCGGGC